rnacentral:ncRNA from 1 species
AUAAUUGCGUUGAAAGAGAAGAGUAUAUAGACAUUGAUUUAAAGCGAGUUAGGAGUAGUGUAAGCCUAAUAUUUGAUUCUAUAGAAAGAAGCUCUGGAGUUUAAACUGAAAGCUUUAUUGCAUAGUAGGUUUAGGGUAUUCUCCCCAUAUAGAGAUAAUGAGUGGAUUAAGUUUACUUAAUCAAUUUAGGUGGUAACGCGGAAUUAACUUUCGUCCUAAGG